ACACACCUGGGCGUGUGUUCGAUCAGAAGAAGAGAAAGAAAGGGGUCAAACACUAGAACACCAAAAUCUAUCAAAUUGAAAGGGGAAUUGAAGCCUAGUUGAAUGCAUGAACUAAGAAUGGUGAUCAUCUAAGCAUACCCAACAUCAAGAGUCAUGUCAAUAGAGGCACAAAUAUGGAAGCGCUACGGGUCGAAGGUAAACACGGAAGCUAUGUGUAAAUUCGGAUGCACGAGGUAAGUAAACUCCCCGACUCCUUCCUUAGUAGUAAAAGAGGUUAUUUGUAUGAUAAAUGUUAGCAAUUAUGCAAGAUGCUUUAUUGACAUUGGUAACAAGUAAGGAGCAUUACGGACGUGAUUUCUGAAUCACUUCCUACACCAUUUUAGGAAGGCUAUAUGCGAGUCACUUAAGUAUGGUAAUCUAAGUUUAUUUAGGAUUCGGUUAUUGGAGGUUAUGGUAUUCGCUAAGAAGACCGAACGGGUUAAAAUAAGAGUAUAUUAGUGUAGUUUUUAUGCAUAUAAAGAUGUGAAAACAAUGCAGAAUUGUGCAGUAAUUUGCUAGAAUAUUGGUGUAGUUUGUAUGCAUAUCAAGUUGUCAAAAUAGCGCGGAAUUGUGCUGUUAAUUGUUGUUAAAAUAGUGCAGUUUUUAUGCAUUUUGAGCUGCCAAAAUAGUGCAGAAUUUUCAUGUUAAUGGUUAUUAAAAUAGUGCAGUUUUUAUGCAUUUUGAGCUGCCAAAAUAGUGCAGAAUUUUCAUGUUAAUGGUUGUUAAAAUAGUGCAGUUUUUAUGCAUUUUGAGCUGCCAAAAUAGUGCAGAAUUUUCAUGUUAAUGGUUGUUAAAAUAGUGCAGUUUUUAUGCAUUUUGAGCUGCCAAAAUAGUGCAGAAUUUUCAUGUUAGUGGUUGUUAAAAUAGUGCAGUUUUUAUGCAAAUUGAGCUGCUAAAAUAGUGCAGAAUUGUCAUGUUUAUUGUUGUUAAAAUAGUGCAGUUUUUAUACAUUUUGAGCUGCCAAAAUAGUGCAGAAUUGUACUGUGUAUUGCUAUUAAAAUAGUGCAGUUUUUAUGCGUAUCGAGCUAUUAAAAUAGUGUAGAAUUGUGCAGUUUAUAAUGUAUGUACGUGGUCUAUUUGUAUGGAAGCUUGUAAUCAGCAUACCUUAGUAAACCUUGGGAUGAUUUAAGUGAUUUAUAAGGGUUGUACGUUUGUACGUGGGUACGUAAUCACGUGUGGAAGUUCACGUCUAUGAAUACAUGUGUGUUUGUGCCUGCGUUUGAAGUAGGAUUCAUUGCUUAUGAGCGAACGGAACUUGGGUAUGUGUUCGUACAACUUAAAUAAGUGGAAGCGUUAAGUUACUAAACCGUUGACUUGAGUAUGAAGAGGUGAUUGCAGGUACUCUAUUAAUGUCUUUACCAAGGUUAAGGAAUUGAAGUGCACGAAUGUACAUGGAAAGCAUAUUCGUAAGGAUCAGUAUGGGAAGAAGGAACGCUGACUGGUUAUUGAUCAUGUGUGUUUUGUUUAGGAAUGAUGUCAUUAAAUCUAACCGAUGCACAUGUAUGUGGUGAAUGCAGGUUGCGUGGAUUUAGCAUCAUUGUGAAGGAUAGAAAGAUUGAAGAUCGAGUCAAGAGCAAUGGAUUGUACGGGAAGGAUCGGUCACAUAGUUUAACAAAUGUAGGUCCGAAGUAUUAAUGUAAUGGAACGUGGUAAAUCCUUUUUAAUGAGUGUAUGACAUUUGGUAUUCGAACUUUCCUGUAAGUACCAUGUCUAUUAAAGAACGAGAUUUUGGGUUCAUAUUUUCCGCUGUGUUGUAUUUUUAAGUUAUUACAAGUUAGUCUUACAGGGAAUUGUUCAUAAUAAGAACGGGUCAUGCCCGGUUUUUUGUUAAAUUAUAGUAUGAUAAUAUCUCAUUUAGGAAGGUAUAAAGGUGGGCGUAACAAGUUGGUAUCAGAGCCCUGGUUUGAGAGAAAUCAAGUAUGAGAAGGUAGUACUUUAACUCAAACCUGUGUGCUCGUGUGACAAGGAACCCGUACAAUCUAGGACUCGAUCAAGAUCUAAGGGCAGAAGCGAAUGUAAGUAUGUAUUUAUGCAUGUGAAUGAAGAAACUAACGGUUUUGUAUAUGCAAGGUAAGCAUAAGUGAUUGAAGGGGAGGGUCCGUGAAUGCAGAAUAGGAUGAAUGCUAAGGCGGGCAAAGAUGCAAAUAGGCAAAUUAACCCCAGGUACACGCUACUAAUAUGUAUGGGUGCCGAUGUUAAAAGAAAAAGGAAGAGAUUUCCUUGGGAGGGUAAUUAUUAAACGAAAGACAACGAUGUGGUCUUGGGGAAGUUUUAGAAAUAUGCACGAAACUGAAACCCAUUUCUUGGACAUAAGGCGAUGAUUACACGAAGGCACGAAACUAGUACGUGGAUUGCGCACCUGGCCAGUACGCAAGAAGCAUAUGACGUUCGUGAGACCGUGGUAAUUAUCGCAGGUAUGUCUGGUAGAACUGGGUAGCAGGUGGGCGUGCAGGUGGAAUGGGUAAUAAGACUCUCGGGAAACUGAGGAUACUACGUAAGAGUAAAAAGUAUAAGUGAUGAGAAUGAAGAAUGUUGAAUCCGUAAAAAAAAGAGUACGGAUCAACGAGACAUGAAUGCAAAGUUUGAAUCCGCGAGACGGAUUCAAGGAAUGAAAGAUAUGAAUGAUGCAAAUCCCUUGCGGAUUUGGUUAUGCUAAAGAAGGUUAUGAUAAGCUAUGCAAGUCGACUGGUUCAAGUUGAACAAGUCGAGUAAGGAUAAGGUACCAUCCGUUUAGAACGGGUGGUCAUGAAUGCAAUAACAAAUGUAUGAAGUUCAACCCGUUAUACGGAUAGAACGAAAGAUUUAUGUUGAAAGCAAUUAACCCGAUGUUACCGGGUCGUAAGUGGUAUGCUUGAAUCUCAUUAUGAGAGUAUAUGCCAUUACCCAUUUAAUUGGGUAAUCGAAUGCGUAAAAGAAAUGAAAGUAUAUAAGCGAAUGGAACUAAAAUGUUGGUAUUGUAAGCGAAAUAAAUAUUAUGACUAACCUUUAAAACGGGAAGGGUAAGUGUUUGCAAGAAAACACUGGAACAGUGAAGCUAUGAGAUCGUAAGCAUGUUUGAAUUGAAAAGGAGUACAAACGUGUACUUCGAUACGCAUGUAGAUAAUAAGAAAUAAGUGGUAGUUGACCUUGAAAAGUCAAACUGCAGAAGCUGAGAAAUAAUUUAGUUUCAAACUAAGGGAGUGCUAGAGAAGAAAGGAAAUGUGUAGUGUAGUACACCAAAUGAGUUAAAGAAUUACGAAAUAAUGAUUAUGUAUUUACCCGUCAAGAAUGGGUCAAACAAUGAGAAUGAUAUAUUAAGAAAUGGUCAUGUAUUGACCCGUUGUGAAUAGGUCUAACACAUUAGUGCUUUAAAAAGAAUCUUGAAAGUAGUAAUAUGUAAACAAGGAGAAGUAAUAAACAUCAUGUUUAAAUGAAUUUGAAUGAAAUGUGAUAAUCCCCAAUCUUAUAAUGAGUAUGGCAGAUAUCAUAGUGUGAUAAACCUAUCAAGGUCAAUGAAAGAAUGUUCAUAAGCGAAAGCUCGUCACACAGAUGAACGAGGUCAAUACGAAACAUGGUAUGGAUGGUGACGAAGAGGACCGACUCGUUGUUGCAUGUUCAAGUACUGCACCAAGGUAGUAAGGUUAGAAAAUUAUUUAAUACAUGAAUGUACGAUGCUCGAAUCUCUCAAACCUACGCUCUCGUGAAAGUGUGUUCGUUUCUAAGCGCCACGCAAGUAAGUGAUUUAAGGAUUUCGAGCUAUGCUUUUAGAUGAAAACGGAAAUGGGUUAUGGAUAAAUUACUAUUAUAACAUGGGUUGGGACGUUAUGGGAUGUUAUGGAAGGUUUCGUGACUGCCCGAGACCAUUUCAGGUUGGAAAAAGGACCCGGGAACAAAAAUUUUGGUCAAACAGCGUCUGCACACCAGAGAGCCCGUCGGCGACGGCCUUUAUGCCGUCGGCGACAACACCCCUCCACCCGACGCGCUAACUGUCUGUCUACGGGCAAUGUUCAGCGACGGGACCUUCCCGAGCCCGUCGGCGACGGGACCCCCUUAUCUGCUUAUGCUGAAAUUGUUUGUUUAUUAGGCUAAGGUCCUUAAUUCAGUUCUAGCAUUCAUUAAACACUAGGAACACCCCAAGUUGAUUAUGAAGCUAAGAAAUUCAAGACAACUAUCAUGUUUUAAUGAUGAAUGUGUGGGAAGUUAUGUAUGCGAACGAAUGAAAUAAGUAACACAUCUAGAAUAUUUGUAAGGAAAGAUUGGAUGAGUUUAUGAAAAUUUUACGCAAUCACUGAAAAAGUACCUCCAUAUGAAUAGGUACGAUAUGUUUAAUGUGUACGAGUGAACGAGAUUGUAUGCGGAAAUGAAUAAAUUAAUGAUGACUAGGGAUGGGUUUUCGCAAGGAAAUUUAAAAUCUUGAUAAGUAUAAAUAAUAUGUCAGGAUGCUAGUUUCAAAUUACGGACUAUGGGAUGUGUGAUUAGCCAAUUCCUCACAACAUACUUAUGUAAGUCGUCCAAUGUAACUUGAAUGAGUGGACGAACGAAGAAUAAGACUAGACGGAUUGUAGAAGAAAAGAAAGAGGUUUCGGGACGAAACCUUCUUUAAGGGGGGUAGAUUUGUAACGCCCUAAAAUUCAAAUUAUCUAGUUGUUAAUAUGUUAUCACGUUUAAAAGAAGGAGAUGCAAUAACUAGGUUAUCAAACCAAGUUAAAUGCUUGGUUUAAACAAAUAAGAAUAGGAAUUGGGUAAAUUAUGAACAAUGGUAAACAUGAGGGGUUGAUAUGGACAAAAGGAAAAGAUAGAAUAUAAAAAAAAAGUAAUGAUAUCCCUUAAACCACACACCUGGGCGUGUGUUCGAUCAGAAGAAGAGAAAGAAAAGGGUCAAACCCUAGAACACCAAAAUCUAUCAAAUUGAAAGGGGAAUUGAAGCCUAGUUGAAUGCAUGAACUAAGAAUGGUGAUCAUCUAAGCAUACCCAACAUCAAGAGUCAUGUCAAUAGAGGCACAAAUAUGGAAGCGCUACGGGUCGAAGGUAAACACGGAAGCUAUGUGUAAAUUCGGAUGCACGAGGUAAGUAAACUCCCCGACUCCUUCCUUAGUAGUAAAAGAGGUUAUUUGUAUGAUAAAUGUUAGCAAUUAUGCAAGAUGCUUUAUUGACAUUCGUAACAAGUAAGGAGCAUUAAGGACGUGAUUUCUGAAUCACUUCCUACACCAUUUUAGGAAGGCUAUAUGCGAGUCACUUAAGUAUGGUAAUCUAAGUUUAUUUAGGAUUCGGUUAUUGGAGGUGAUGGUAUUCGCUAAGAAGACCGAACGGGUUAAAAUAAGAGUAUAUUAGUGUAGUUUUUAUGCAUAUAAAGAUGUGAAAACAAUGCAGAAUUGUGCAGUAAUUUGCUAGAAUAUUGGUGUAGUUUGUAUGCAUAUCAAGUUGUCAAAAUAGCGCGGAAUUGUGCUGUUAAUUGUUAUUAAAAUAGUGCAGUUUUUAUGCAUUUUGAGCUGCCAAAAUAGUGCAGAAUUUUCAUGUUAAUGGUUGUUAAAAUAGUGCAGUGUUUACGCAUUUUGAGCUGCCAAAAUAGUGCAGAAUUUUCAUGUUAAUGGUUGUUAAAAUAGUGCAGUUUUUAUGCAUUUUGAGCUGCCAAAAUAGUGCAGAAUUUUCAUAUUAAUGGUUGUUAAAAUAGUGCAGUUUUUAUGCAUUUUGAGCUGCCAAAAUAGUGCAGAAUUUUCAUGUUAAUGGUUGUUAAAAUAGUGCAGUUUUUAUGCAAAUUGAGCUGCCAAAAUAGUGCAGAAUUGUCAUGUUUAUUGUUGUUAAAAUAGUGCAGUUUUUAUACAUUUUGAGCUGCCAAAAUAGUGCAGAAUUGUACUGUGUAUUGCUAUUAAAAUAGUGCAGUUUUUAUGCGUAUCGAGCUGUUAAAAUAGUGUAGAAUUGUGCAGUUUAUAAUGUAUGUACGUGGUCUAUUUGUAUGGAAGCUUGUAAUCAGCAUACCUUAGUAAACCUUGGGAUGAUUUAAGUGAUUUAUAAGGGUUGUAAGUUUGUACGUGGGUACGUAAUCACGUGUGGAAGUUCACGUCUAUGAAUACAUGUGUGUUUGUGCUUGCGUUUGAAGUAGGAUUCAUUGCUUAUGAGCGAACGGAACUUGGGUAUGUGUUCGUACAACUUAAAUAAGUGGAAGCGUUAAGUUACUAAACCGUUGACUUGAGUAUGAAGAGGUGAUUGCAGGUACUCUAUUAAUGUCUUUACCAAGGUUAAGGAAUUGAAGUGCACGAAUGUACAUGGAAAGCAUAUUCGUAAGGAUCAGUAUGGGAAGAAGGAACGCUGACUGGUUAUUGAUCAUGUGUGUUUAGUUUAGGAAUGAUGUCAUUAAAUCUAACCGAUGCACACGUAUGUGGUGAAUGCAGGUUGCGUGGAUUUAGCAUCAUUGUGAAGGAUAGAAAGAUUGAAGAUCAAGUCAAGAGCAAAGGAUUGUACGGGAAGGAUCGGUCACAUAGUUUAACAAAUGUAGGUCCGAAGUAUUAAUGUAAUGGAACGUGGUAAAUCCUUUUUAAUGAGUGUAUGACAUUUGGUAUUCGAACUUUCCUGUAAGUACUAUGUCUAUUAAAGAACGAAAUUUUGGGGUCAUA